UUCAGGUCGCCCACGAGGGAGAUGGCAGGGCCAGGAUGAAGCCUGCCCGGGCCACGGCCUUCCCACCGAGCUGUCCUCUCAGGGUCCCCGAGAGGUGGGGGGUGCCCCUUCAACAAAUGGACGCCUACCCACCAGUCCCGAGGGCCCGGAAGGGUAGGAAGGGCACCUGAAAGCAGAAACACUAAGCCAAUCCGGUUGCCCUCCCUGCAGAGGCCCGCCUCCUUGGCUUGCAUGCCUCCAGGGACAGGGAGCUCACUCUCUGUGUUCAGGCGGGGCCUCUGCAAAGCCUGGCUGCUGGGCCCCCGGGAGCCCUGCCUCUGGGGCCACACCUGGCCAGGUAGCCUCGGGCCCGGCUCUGCAGCAGAAUGAUCUUGCCACGCAGGGAGCGGAAGCGGCGCCGGAUAAAGAAGCCCCGGAGGCAGCGCUGCAGCGUGAGGGCCGCCAGGUGCAGGACGCGCUCCCGCAUGCUCUCCAGCAGCUGGUGAAGAUGCUCCUUAAGGAACAGCUGGGGACAGGAGCAGACACCAGGGCAGCGCCAAGGUCACCUCCUCCAGGAAGCUUUCCCUGACUUCCCAGGCUGGUGCAGCCCCUCCUCUGGACUCCCAAAGGCCCUCUCUCUGGCUGUCAAGGGCAGGUCUGGUGUCCCACACCCCCAUCCCCAGGCCACAGCAGAGAGAAAUGGAGGACUCAGUGCUGGACGAGGGCACCUGGGGAAAGCAACACUGGUCGUCGAGGAUGCGCAGGAUGCCGUAGGGCUUCAGCGAGAUGAGGUUGAUGCAGGGCUGGUUGUCGGCAAAGGUGACCUCCCGCCAGUGGACCUGCUCGCGGAAGUACUCCUCCUGUGGGCAGGGCCAGCGGGGGCUCAGGCUCCUUGCCCUGUGCCCCCUGCCUCCCACCUAGCCAGAUAUGUGGGGGCUGAAUCUUCCUGGAGGGGCCUGGCCAGGGCUCCCUCUGCUUGCAUACCUCCUGGAACAGAGAGCUCACUGUCUAACGGAUGACAUGGGCCAUCUCAGGGCCUCGCUGCUCCCUCCACCUGAGACAGCCCUGCAAAGGGCAGGAGGGACCCCCGAGGGGGCUUGACUCUGAGCUCAGCACCCCUGCACAGUCCCCUCCAGAACAACCCAUCACACAUGCUGAUCCCUCUGCCUAGAAGGCCUUUUCCCCCAUUUGACUACCGACGUCAGAUCUGUCCUGGAAAGAGCCCGUGCAUCCCUCUCCAAGAAGCCCUGUGGGGCCACCUGGGCAGGUGGGACAGGGACAGGAGCAAAUGGGCCCUGCACCUGCUCCUCCUGGAAGAUGAUCUUGUUGAACAGGUACUGAAGGUUCUCGUUUGCGUAGUUGAUGCAGAGCUGCUCGAAGCUGUUGAAGCUCAGGUCCUGCCAGGUGGAUGGUGAGAGUCGGGCGGCCGGAGCUGGGGGCUCACCUUUGCUGGCCAUGAGUCCUGCCCACCUCUUCCAGCCUAGGCCCAGGGCCCUCCCUGCUUUCUGUGGGCCUGACCACAGCCCCUGCUCGGAACCCUCUGUGGCUCCCACUGCACACAGGAUAGACCCGCCUUUGGGGUCCUGACGAGAGACAGCGGAGGUAGUGGUUAAAGGCAAAGGCUCUGGAACCUUCUGCCUGGAUUCAAAUCCUGGCACUGCCCCAGUCUAGCUCUGUGAUCUUGGGCAACCUCUCUGUACCUCAGUUUCCCCAUCUGUCGAAUGGGGCCUCACAGGCUUGUUGGGAGGACUGAGUCAAUAAACAAAGUGCUUAGGACA